AAUCAUCAAUCCUUUUUUAAAAAAGGCUUUGGACUUUGGAGUUUGCUGGCUUGUAAAAAAGAUAGCUUCUCUUAAAUGUAUUAGCUUGUAUUCCUUUGCAGAUAAGCUUUAGUUUGAUAGAUGUCUACUAUAGCUUGUGAAGUGAAUGCUAGCUUCCAAUUGUGCAAUUUUAAUC
rnacentral:misc_RNA from 1 species